CCGCUGACGACCGGCGCACGGGUGCGUAACGCGUAUACAAUCUACCUUUUACAGGGGGAUAGCCUUUAGAAAUGAAGAUUAAUAUCCUAUAGUAAGUAAUUAUGGCAUCAUGAUAACUUUAAAGUUUCGGCGGUAAAAGAUGAGUAUGCGUUCUAUUAGCUAGAUGGAGUGGUAACGGCACCCCAUGGCGACGAUAGAUAGGGGCCCUGAGAGGGGGAUCCCCCACACUGGUACUGAGACACGGACCAGACUCCUACGGGAGGCAGCAGUGAGGAAUAUUGGACAAUGGGCGAGAGCCUGAUCCAGCCAUGCCGCGUGCAGGAAGACUGCCCUAUGGGUUGUAAACUGCUUUUAAACGGGAAGAAACGCAUCUACGUGUAGAUGUCUGACGGUACCGUAAGAAUAAGGAUCGGCUAACUCCGUGCCAGCAGCCGCGGUAAUACGGAGGAUCCAAGCGUUAUCCGGAAUCAUUGGGUUUAAAGGGUCCGUAGGUGGAUAAUUAAGUCAGGGGUGAAAGUCUGCAGCUCAACUGUAGAAUUGCCUUUGAUACUGGUUAUCUUGAAUUAUUGUGAAGUGGUUAGAAUAUGUAGUGUAGCGGUGAAAUGCAUAGAUAUUACAUAGAAUA
rnacentral:rRNA from 1 species